rnacentral:rRNA from 1 species
AGGGUGAGUCGACCCCUAAGGCGAGGCCGAAAGGCGUAGUCGAUGGGAAACGGGUUAAUAUUCCCGUACUUAUUAUGAAUGCGAAGGGGGGACGGAGCAGGCUAGGCAAGCAUGGCGUUGGUUGUCCAUGUGAAAGUGAGUAGGCUGGUGACUUAGGCAAAUCCGGGUCACUAAGGCUGAGACACGAGACGACACUCUACGGAGUGGAAGUUGAUGAUGCCCUACUUCCAGGAAAAGCCUCUAAGCUUCAGUUCAUAAUGAAUCGUACCCCAAACCGACACAGGUGGUCAGGUAGAGAAUACUAAGGCGCUUGAGAGAACUCGGGUGAAGGAACUAGGCAAAAUUGUACCGUAACUUCGGGAGAAGGUACGCCGGCUAGGGUGAUGGAACUUGCUUCCUAAGCUUUGGUCGGUCGCAGUGACCAGGUGGCUGCAACUGUUUAUUAAAAACACAGCACUGUGCAAAAUCGUAAGAUGACGUAUACGGUGUGACACCUGCCCGGUGCCGGAAGGUUAAUUGAUGGGGUUAGCGUAAGCGAAGCUCUUGAUCGAAGCCCCAGUAAACGGCGGCCGUAACAAUAACGGUCCUAAGGUAGCGAAAUUCCUUGUCGGGUAAGUUCCGACCUGCACGAAUGGCGUAACGAUGGCCACACUGUCUCCUCCCGAGACUCAGCGAAGUUGAAAUGUUUGUGAUGAUGCAAUCUACCCGCGGCUAGACGGAAAGACCCCAUGAACCUUUACUGUAGCUUUGCAUUGGACUUUGAAUCAAUCUGUGUAGGAUAGGUGGGAGGCUUUGAAGUGUGGACGCCAGUCUGCAUGGAGCCGACCUUGAAAUACCACCCUUUAAUGUUUGAUGUUCUAACGUUGACCCGUAAUCCGGGUUGCGGACAGUGUCUGGUGGGUAGUUUGACUGGGGCGGUCUCCUCCCAAAGAGUAACGGAGGAGCACGAAGGUUGGCUAAGUACGGUCGGACAUCGUACGGUUAGUGUAAUGGUAGAAGCCAGCUUAACUGCGAGACAGACACGUCGAGCAGGUACGAAAGUAGGUCAUAGUGAUCCGGUGGUUCUGAAUGGAAGGGCCAUCGCUCAACGGAUAAAAGGUACUCCGGGGAUAACAGGCUGAUACCGCCCAAGAGUUCAUAUCGACGGCGGUGUUUGGCACCUCGAUGUCGGCUCAUCACAUCCUGGGGCUGAAGUCGGUCCCAAGGGUAUGGCUGUUCGCCAUUUAAAGUGGUACGCGAGCUGGGUUUAGAACGUCGUGAGACAGUUCGGUCCCUAUCUGCCGUGGGCGUUGGAAGAUUGAAGGGGGCUGCUCCUAGUACGAGAGGACCGGAGUGGACGAACCUCUGGUGUUCGGGUUGUCAUGCCAAUGGCAUUGCCCGGUAGCUACGUUCGGAAUCGAUAACCGCUGAAAGCAUCUAAGCGGGAAGCGAGCCCUGAGAUGAGUAAUCCCUAGAGCUUUAAGCUCUCUAAAGGGUUGUUGGAGACUAC